UACGGGAGGCAGCAGUGAGGAAUAUUGGUCAAUGGGCGAGAGCCUGAACCAGCCAAGUAGCGUGCAGGAUGACGGCCCUAUGGGUUGUAAACUGCUUUUAUACAGGGAUAAAGUCAGUUACGUGUAACUGUUUGUAGGUACUGUAUGAAUAAGGACCGGCUAAUUCCGUGCCAGCAGCCGCGGUAAU
rnacentral:rRNA from 1 species